rnacentral:lncRNA from 10 species
AGUUGACUCCCGCAGGGUCCCGGCGCCGGCAGCCGUGCUGCGUGUGUUGGGUAGUGCGAGGCGGUCCAGUGCAGCGACAGUCCGGCUCGAGGGCGGAGGGCCAGCCGAAGCGGGGUGGUGGCCGCUGCCCCGGGAAAGACUGUCCAAGAUGCUGACAGGAGCUUUGGCUCGUGAGAUUGAGAGGAAGUCAGACGCCGUGGUCUGUGUAACCCCCCAGUAAGGUCCCCAGCUUGCAACCGAAUUCGGAACCUAGACUUGGAGCCUUCUCCGAAAGCAAAUGGACACAACCCAUCAGCGGCAGCACACAAACUUGAGUCUGUCGUGGCAGGUGGCGCUUCUGCGGCAGAGCAGUGAUCCGCUUGUAGAGAUUUAUGAGCAAAGGAACCGGAAGAAAAAAAUCAAAAAGCUAAUUGCUAAAGGCCGGGCGCGGUGGCUCACGCCUGUAACCCAACACUUUGGGAGGCCGAGGCCGGUGGAUCACGAGGUCAGGACUUCGAGACCAGCCUGGCCUACCUGGUGAAGCCUCGUCUCUACUAAAAAUAUAAAAAUUAGCCGGGCAUGGUGGUGCACGCCUGUAAACCCAGCUACUCAGGAGGCUGAGGCAGGAGAAUUGCUUGAAUCCGGGAGGCGGAGGUUGCGGUGAGCCGAGAUUGCACCACUGCACUCCAGUCUGGGCGACAGAGCGAGACUCCGUCUGGCGGGGUGAGGGGGAAGCUAAUUGCUGACAGCGAGGUCUCUCGGUUACAAACCCAUCUCCAGAGCCAAGUGGGGGAAUUGAGGACAUUUGGUCAAAGGAGAAGGAUCCAGAACUGUGACCAGCAGAAAUUGGUGCAUGGCCUCUCAUUUCUGUAGUUUUUUAUCGGUGGGGGAAAAAGAACAAAACCAAAAACUCCCUGUCCUCGACAUAAUUCUCUGUAGGAGAAGGAACCUCUGUGGGAAUGAGCUUAUCUGCAAAGAUCAUCGUGAAGUUGUUAAAGAAGUUAAAUGGAAGACUCGCAAGAAAUUCAUCACAACAAAAAGCUAAACGUUUUUUUGGAUGAAGAUUUGUUAUCUGUGAGGUGUAUGAGGCCCAGGAGAGAUCCGGUUCAUUUUCUGAGAGAAGAUUUUUGGAAGGUUUAUAUGAAUUCUCAGUCACGCUGUACUUUCUGGUGUGAUAAAGCUAGGCAGUGGCAAGAAUGGCAACAGCCUGAAAACAUGCAAAAUUUCCAUGUUAUCAGAAAAACAGGAAAGGAUAAUGGUAGAUCUUACUUCUGAUGCCACUUGUUUAUUAUAUUUAAUAAGCUGACACGAUCCUGUCUAGUGAAAAUCCCUGCACGCAGUGCCCCUUGGGCUUGCUGAACAAGGGUAACAUGCCACCGGAAGUAUAUAAUGAUACCAAAAGAUGAAGUCCAUCAGUCAGUCACCUUCGUGAUAAUAUCUCCAAGGGACCUAGGGAAAUAGUGAGGCUUAUGCAUAUAAAGAGACACCAUAUGAGGCAGAAAUUAGGUGACUUGAACAGCAUUCUGCUUUAGAGUUGUUUUGAAAAUACUCCCGGCCGGGCGCGGUGGCUCAUGCCUGUAAUCCUAGCACUUUGGGAGGCCAAGGCGGGCGAAUCACUAGGUCAGGAGUUCGAGACCAGCCUGACCAACAUGGUGAAACCUCGUCUCUACUAAAAAUACAAAAAUUAGCCAGGCGUGGUGGCAUGUACCUGUAAUCCCAGCUACUCAGAAGGCUGAGGCAGGAGAAUCGCUUGAACCUGGGAGGCGGAGGUUGCGGUGAGCCGAGAUCGCGUCAGUGCACUCCAGCCUAGGUGACAGAGCGAGAUUUCUUGUCUCAAAAAAAAGAAAGAAAGAAAAUACUCCCAAGUCAGAUUUUUUUUUUUUUGAGACAUAGCCUCACUCUCUCCCAGGCCGGAGUGCAGUGGUACAAUUAACAGCUCACUGCAGCCUCAACCUCCCAGGCUCAAGAGAUCCUUCCAUCUCAGCCUCCUGAGUAGCAGGGACUACAGGCAUACACUGCAAUGCCAGGCUAAUUAAAAAAAAAAAAAUUUGUAGGCCGGGCACGGUGGCUCAGGCCUGUAAUCCCAGCACUUUGGGAGGCCGAGGCAGGCGGAUCACGAGGUCAGGAGAUUGAGACCAUCCUGGCUAACACGGUGAAACCCCGUCUCUACUAAAAAUAGAAAAAAUUAGCUGGGCAUGGUGGCAGGUGCCUGUAGUCCCAGCUACUCAGGAGGCUGAGGCAGGAGAAGGGCGUGAACCCAGGAGGCGGAGCUUGCAGUGAGCCGAGAUCGCGCCACUGCAGUCCAGCCUAGGCGACAGAGAGAGACUCUGUCUCAAAAAAAAAAAAAGGAAAAAAAAGCAUAUUUUGUAGAGACUGGGAUCUCACUAUGUUGCCUAGGCUGGUCUCAAACUCCUAAGCUCAAGCAAUCCUCCCACCUCAGCCUCCCAAAGUGCUGGGAUUAUAGGUAUGAAUGCCCAGCCCCAAAUUAGGUCAUUAAGAGCAUUCCAGAUCAUUAAAAUUAUCUAGGGAGAUAAAAACACACAGGAUUGUUCAUCAGUGUAGGAACACCCAAAAGUAAUCUUCAAUUGUUUACUUGUAUCUUGGUAACCAAAGACCAUUGUGUUCUUCAGAACCAGUAAGGGGCAUGCAUGCUGAAACAUGAAUAGUAACUCAUACUACACAAACAGCCAGUGCACUCUGACUUCACGUCCUAGCCCUGUGCAGGUGCUUUACAUGCAUCAAUUCAUUAAAUCCUUACGACAACCCUCUGCAGCAGGUACUAUUAUUACCCCACUUUAUUUUAUUUUUAUUUAUUUAUUUAUUUUUUUGAGACAGGGUCUCACUGUUGCCCAGGCUGGAGUGCAGUGGUGCGAUCUCGGCUCACUGCAACCUCCGCCGCCCAGGUUCCAGUGAUUCUCUUGCCUCAGCCUCCUGAAUAGCAGGGAUUACAGGCGUCUGCCACCAUGCCUGGCUAAUUUUUGCAUUUUUAGUAGAGGCAAGGUUUCACCAUGUUGGCAAGGCUGGUCUUGAACUCCUGACCUCAAGUGAUCCAUCUGCCUCGGCCUCCCAAAGUGUUAGGAUUACAGGCAUGAGCCACUGUGCCCGGCCUUAUUGCCCCACUUAAGAAAUGAGGAAACUGGCCAGGUGCAGUGGCUCACACCUGUAAUCCCAGCACUUUGGGAAGCUGAGGUGGGCGGAUCACAAGGUCAGGAGAUCGAGACCAUCCUGGCUAACACGGUAAAACCCCGUCUCUACUAAAAAUACAAAAAAUUAGCUGGGCGUGGUGGCACGUGCCUGUAAUCCCUGUGACUUGGGAGGCUGAGGCAGGAGAAUCUAUUGA